ACUUUCUUACUUCUAGCUUUCCAAUCAUCCUCUAACUUGCUCAAAAAUUUGUCCAAACCUUUUAGAACAUGUGGGAUAGUUUCACAUUUCAUUCCACACACUCGAACUCCGCAAUUUGUCAAAGUUCAGUGUAUUACAGAGAUACUACAUUUAAUACCACAAAUAAAUUUUUAUAUAUUUUUAUAAAUAAUAUUUAUAAAUAAAAUAUUAUAUAUAACAUAUUUAUAUACAAAAUGAAAUACUAUAUAUAUAUAUAUAUAUAUAUAUAUAUAUAUAUAUAAAAGAGGGAGAGGAGUCAAUGGUCCACCGUGGACUCCCUUUCAUGCGGUCCACGAGGUGAAGUGGACCUUAUGGACUGGGCGUUUCCUGCCCCCAAGCCGCGUGCUUUGCCGUCGGGUUUUCGUCUUUCGCUCGUUUUGAGUGGAAAACAAGAACCCAAUUUUUCUGAGGAUAUGUAAAAAAAAAUUUCAAAUUUUCUUCUUUUACAGACAACAAACAUCUGAAAAUUAUUUUUCGCGGAAAAAAAAAUUUUUCGGGUCAGCUUUCCACCGAACCAAACACACUCCAAACAAUCCAUCAAAAACAUCAUCCAUUAUUUUCUAAAUAUAUACUAUUUUCCCCCCUAAUAUCAAUUUAACAAAGUAUAAAAAUUAAAAGUUAUUUA
rnacentral:lncRNA from 1 species